rnacentral:rRNA from 1 species
UACGUAGGGGGCUAGCGUUGUCCGGAAUCAUUGGGCGUAAAGAGCGUGUAGGCGGUCCGGUAAGUCCGCUGUAAAAGUCAAAGGCUCAACCUUUGAAUGUCAGUGGAUACUGCCGGGCUAGAGUCCGGAAGAGGCGAGUGGAACUCCUGGUGUAGCGGUGGAAUGCGCAGAUAUCAGGAAGAACACCAGCGGCGAAAGCAGCUCGCUAGGACGGUACUGACGCUGAGACGCGAAAGCGUGGGGAGCGAACAGG